UGAACGCUGGCGGCAUGCCUUACACAUGCAAGUCGAACGGCAGCACGGGUGCUUGCACCUGGUGGCGAGUGGCGAACGGGUGAGUAAUACAUCGGAACAUGUCCUGUAGUGGGGGAUAGCCCGGCGAAAGCCGGAUUAAUACCGCAUACGAUCUACGGAUGAAAGCGGGGGACCUUCGGGCCUCGCGCUAUAGGGUUGGCCGAUGGCUGAUUAGCUAGUUGGUGGGGUAAAGGCCUACCAAGGCGACGAUCAGUAGCUGGUCUGAGAGGACGACCAGCCACACUGGGACUGAGACACGGCCCAGACUCCUACGGGAGGCAGCAGUGGGGAAUUUUGGACAAUGGGCGAAAGCCUGAUCCAGCAAUGCCGCGUGUGUGAAGAAGGCCUUCGGGUUGUAAAGCACUUUUGUCCGGAAAGAAAUCCUUGGCUCUAAUACAGUCGGGGGAUGACGGUACCGGAAGAAUAAGCACCGGCUAACUACGUGCCUGCAGCCGCGGUAAUACGUAGGGUGCGAGCGUUAAUCGGAAUUACUGGGCGUAAAGCGUGCGCAGGCGGUUUGCUAAGACCGAUGUGAAAUCCCCGGGCUCAACCUGGGAACUGCAUUGGUGACUGGCAGGCUAGAGUAUGGCAGAGGGGGGGUAGAAUUCCACGUGUAGCAGUGAAAUGCGUAGAGAUGUGGAGGAAUACCGAUGGCGAAGGCAGCCCCCUGGGCCAAUACUGACGCUCAUGCACGAAAGCGUGGGGAGCAAACAGGAUUAGAUACCCUGGUAGUCCACGCCCUAAACGAUGUCAACUAGUUGUUGGGGAUUCAUUUCCUUAGUAACGUAGCUAACGCGUGAAGUUGACCGCCUGGGGAGUACGGUCGCAAGAUUAAAACUCAAAGGAAUUGACGGGGACCCGCACAAGCGGUGGAUGAUGUGGAUUAAUUCGAUGCAACGCGAAAAACCUUACCUACCCUUGACAUGGUCGGAAUCCCGCUGAGAGGUGGGAGUGCUCGAAAGAGAACCGGCGCACAGGUGCUGCAUGGCUGUCGUCAGCUUGUGUCGUGAGAUGUUGGGUUAAGUCCCGCAACGAGCGCAACCCUUGUCCUUAGUUGCUACGCAAGAGCACUCUAAGGAGACUGCCGGUGACAAACCGGAGGAAGGUGGGGAUGACGUCAAGUCCUCAUGGCCCUUAUGGGUAGGGCUUCACACGUCAUACAAUGGUCGGAACAGAGGGUUGCCAACCCGCGAGGGGGAGCUAAUCCCAGAAAACCGAUCGUAGUCCGGAUUGCACUCUGCAACUCGAGUGCAUGAAGCUGGAAUCGCUAGUAAUCGCGGAUCAGCAUGCCGCGGUGAAUACGUUCCCGGGUCUUGUACACACCGCC
rnacentral:rRNA from 1 species